UAACACAUGCAAGUCGUACGAGAACUCUUCUGCUUGCAGAAGAUAGUAAAGUGGCGUACGGGUGAGUAACGCGUGGGUAAUCUACCUCCGAAUUGGGGAUAACAUUGCGAAAGCGAUGCUAAUACCGGAUAAUAUCCUGAGGGCUUCGGUCUUCGAGAUCAAAGGUGGCCUCUACAUGUAAGCUACCGUUUGGAGAUGAGCUCGCGUACCAUUAGCUUGUUGGUAGGGUAACGGCCUACCAAGGCUACGAUGGUUAGCUGGUCUGAGAGGAUGAUCAGCCACACUGGAACUGACACACGGUCCAGACUCCUACGGGAGGCAGCAGUGAGGAAUUUUGCGCAAUGGGGGAAACCCUGACGCAGCAACGCCGCGUGAGUGAUGAAGGCUUUCGGGUCGUAAAGCUCUGUCAAGUGGGAAGAACCUGUCCGAUGCCAAUACCAUCGGGCACUGACGGUACCACUGAAGGAAGCACCGGCUAACUCCGUGCCAGCAGCCGCGGUAAUACGGGGGGUGCAAGCGUUAUUCGGAAUCAUUGGGCGUAAAGGGCGCGUAGGCGGCCUCUUAAGUCAGAUGUGAAAGCCCGGGGCUUAACCCCGGAAGUGCAUUUGAAACUGAGAAGCUUGAGUAUGGGAGAGGGAAGUGGAAUUCCUGGUGUAGAGGUGAAAUUCGUAGAUAUCAGGAGGAACACCGGUGGCGAAGGCGACUUCCUGGACCAAUACUGACGCUGAGGCGCGAAGGCGUGGGUAGCAAACAGGAUUAGAUACCCUGGUAGUCCACGCAGUAAACGUUGUUCACUAGGUGUAGCGGGUAUUGACCCCUGCUGUGCCGCAGUUAACGCAUUAAGUGAACCGCCUGGGAAGUACGGCCGCAAGGUUAAAACUCAAAGGAAUUGACGGGGGCCCGCACAAGCGUGGAGCAUGUGGUUUAAUUCGACGCAACGCGAAGAACCUUACCUGGGUUUGACAUCCCGAGAAGUCUCUUGAAAGAGAGAUGUGCCCUUCGGGGAGCUCGGAGACAGGUGCUGCAUGGCUGUCGUCAGCUCGUGUCGUGAGAUGUUGGGUUAAGUCCCGCAACGAGCGCAACCCUUAUCUUUAGUUACAGCAUUCAGUUGGGGACUCUAAAGAUACUGCCCCGGUUAACGGGGAGGAAGGUGGGGAUGACGUCAAGUCCUCAUGGCCCUUAUACCCAGGGCUACACACGUGCUACAAUGGGCUGUACAAAGGGCCGCAAACCC
rnacentral:rRNA from 1 species